GUGGACUAGCAUUGUACCCUUCCCUUCAUUUCUGAUCUCUCUGCAGGACCCUGGGACUUGUCUCCACUUCCUCUGUAAUGUUUCCCUUCUCUGGUUUGCUCAUCUCACUCUCAAGGAGUGCCUACUCUUUUGGGUACCUGGGUUCUGCCUGUACAAGCCCACUGCUAGGGGAAGAUGUACCCCAAAUACUUUAACAACAUGGCAGAGUGUGGCAAACAAGGCAAGAAACUAAUAUCCACCAGGCUCUGUAUCACCUUAGUGGUUUCCUGGUAACAGAGCAAGGACCAGCGUGGUACUGGUUUAUGGCUGGAUUAGGUCCCAGGCAGGAUGCAGAGGAUGAGGAGAAUGGUGGGGACUCCAGUAAAGGUAAGAGGAAAAGGACGCUCCUUUGUACUGAGAUCAUGACCUCCUACUUUUUCUGUGUUAAAAUGGCCUUUCUUCUGUAGUAUUAAGGCCAUAGUCUGAUUUUUUUUUUUUGGCAAUCCUAGAUUGACUGAACUAAUUUUUUUUUUUUUUUAGUUUUACUUGUCCAGGGCAUCCCUAAGUCUGGGAAACACUGAGUUAUUUUAUUUUUGGGGGAAAGGUUGUUUAUAAUUAUACUGACAAUUCUAUGGGAACAUUAUUGUUCCCAUUGCAUAACUGAGUUCAUUGAGGUGCAGAGAGGCGGCUUCUCGAGAGCCCAUAGUGGCAAAGGUGAGUCUUGAACCUUGUUUUGACUCAUCCUAAGGCCUUCACUUUCCCCAAACCCCUACCAGACUCAUAGGCUACUCUGAGAGGCUCAGGAUGGUCCAUGGUGAUGGGCCUGGCAGAAGAUAUUGAGAUCUGUACCAGGUAACUCAAGGGUUUGAAUGACAAGAAGGCUUAAGAAAGCCCUUUAGAGGAAUAGUGCUAACAAACGGAUUGACAGCCUUGGUCAAACCCUUACGCAGAACAUAAACUGGAUCUGUCCAUGAGAUGUGGACCUGCCCUCCUCCUCAGCCUCCCACCCAGUGGAAUAAUCAUAUCCCAGUGCUUCCCACACCAGUACAGUGAAGAGAGUAAGGAGAGAUGGAGAUAUGGAGAUAUGGAAAUAUAUGUCCUGAAUUGCUUUGCUUUGCCUUUUUUCGGCCAGUACCUUCUGGGCCUGUUCCCCAGUAAGUCCUCACUGCAACUCCCCUUAGUUCUGCCAAGCAUUCCACCUGGCCCAUCCGAUGUCUAGGGAGUCAAAUGUCUGUGUUUUGGUGAGGAAGCACUUUGAGAGUUUUGUAAAAUGAUUCUGCUGGGUUUCCUGGGUAGAGCUGGCUUGAUGCGGGAUGAGUCAUGCCAAUGUGGAAGGUUGUUUGCCUUCAUGUCAUCUUUGAGAGUGAAAUUUCUUUCUCUGGUGGCUCUCAUGGAGGACUUGGGUCAUUUGCCACAAAUCCACAGGGACAAAUUAAUAACUAAAGUGAAGCUGGGCUCUCUCAGAAUAAAAGCUUGCCCUGCUAAGUUUGCACUAUAGGAAUUAGAGGAAAGACACCACGAAGAGUAUUGAGUGGAGGAAGACAUACCCCAUGUGGGGGUGCUCGGAAAGCUCCUCAGGGCCAGGGCCCUGCCUCCUGCCUGGCCAUGGGACCCUCUGAGGCUGGAGCUCAGUAGAAGAUGGCAGGUGUCUGUCAACAGGUCCCAUCCAUGCUGCUCUCUGGAACUGUGGGUUUGAGGAGUUCUUCUGGAAUUCCAAGGAAACCCACAGGGCAAGCAGGUGCAAACUGGCCUUGCUCAUAAUUGGAGAAUUGGAGGCUGGAAGCAGAAAAGUGGUCAACUGAAGCAAAACCCAACCUCCCUUACCUCUAACAUGGAAAUGGCACUUAAUACCUUCCUCAUAGGGGUUGUGGUGAAAUUUAGGGAAUAUACAUUAAUAAAGUUAAUUAAAUAUAUUUACUAUUGAUUAGUGAAUAUACAAAAUGAAUAUAUAAGGUAUAUGAAUAUAUAAAAUAUCACUUGUUCAUUAGUAUUUAAUAUAGUACAUGGAAAGUAUUCAAUUAUAAUGGCUAUCGACUGCUAUUAUUUCUUUUUUGGUGGGGGACAGUGGUGUCUUUAUUGGCCAGGUGGCUACUUGAGGGGUAUGAAGUAUGAAGAUGGGUGGCCCUGAUGCCAGGCUGACCAUGCUUCAGGGUGAUAGAGAACUCACCUAGGUGGUGGCCGAUCAUCUCAGGCUUGAUCUUCAAUGGACUGAAGGUCUUGCCAUUGUAGACACCACCAUGCUGCCACCAUCUCGGGCAGGAUGAUCAUAUCCUGAAGGUGUGUCUUCACCACUCUGACUUCUCUAUGGGUGAUACUUCCUUCUUGGCCUUAUGUAGGGGUUUCAACAGUGAGUGCUGCUUCCACUGCAGGCCACAGUUCAGCUGUCCCACUGCCGUGCACUGUAGAGCUGUAUUAGCUGUUCAUAGAACAUGUCCAGCAGCUGAUCAAGGUCCAUGCUGUGGUAGGUAAACUUGUGGAAGCUUUGCUGCUCCUUCUGUUCCACUUCCACCACCUCAUCAGCUCUUUGGAAAAACUGACUGCUAUAAUUUCUAAGGUUACAUAACUAGUAACAGGCAGAUGGCUUGAACCCAACACCACUUUAUUUCCUCAGUCCACCAAGUUCAUAAGUUAACAGUGCUUGAGCACUUAGUUGGUGCCACACAGUGUGCUACUCCUUUAUGAGGAUUAUCUGACUUAAUCCUCAGAGCAACACUUUGAGGAAGGUGUAUGUAUCAUUCACCUUUUAUGCAUGAGAAAACCAUGGUGCAGAGAGGUUAUAUGGCUGCUCACAGCAGCAAGUGCAAGGCAGAAUUGACCUCCCAACUCAUGCUUCUUAAUCCCCAAGGUGAAUGUGUAUGAGGAGGUUGUCUGUGUGGCAGCACCUCUCUAUACGCCUCUGGCUCACACGUGAUGCACAUUGGCCCCAAGCCCUACAUUUUUAGAACCUUAUGUGCUCUCAGGAUGACUCCAGCUCCUCACCCAUGCCUUUGUAACAUCCCAGGCUCCUCAUGGGUUUCAGUGUUCCUGUGUUUAAAAAGGACAUAAUCAGGUGGCAUCUGCAACACAGCCCACCCUCAACCCAGCAUUCCAGAACUAGUGGCUUCCACGAGUCCAGCCUCAUAUCACUUGUUUUUGGUUUCAUUUAUCAGAAAUGACUGGUGACAAACUGUCCUCCCUUUGCUCCUCUGUGAAAUAGGGUUUUGUGAGGAGUGGGAAAGCAGUGAGCACCUAGCACACAGAAGGGAGAAAGUAAUGGCAUCGGCAUUUUGCAGUCAGACACGAGAGAAGAGGGACUUGUUAAAAGCAGCCACUGGUCUAUUGGGUCUCUUUAACAGAAGGCUCUCAUUCCAAGUCUUCACCUUGGACACCCAGGUGUCACUUAAAAAGAAGUUCACUUUUAGAAGUGGAAAGCCUUUCUGUGGGGGCUUACAAGAGAAGUCAUUGAGGAAUGCAACUAGGAUUCUGGUUGUCAAAGAUGUGUCCAUCACAAAGGUUCACACAUAGGUCCCUAUUUCUGUCACUCACUUGUGGGAUCAUGGGUGUGCCUGUAUGUGUGCACUAGGUUGUAAAACACUUUGGAGCCUGUUAGGAAGAGAUCCACCCUCUGGGCGAAAGUGCCUGUAGCACUCUUGUGAGUGGAUAAACAGUUGGAUGGAAGCCCCCCCGCUUGUGUGCCCUCACAGGGCUGUGCGUCUUCACAGGUACCUAUGCCAUCCCUACCCCAGGUAGGUAAGGGACCUGUAGCCGAGGUCUGCUAAUCUCACAGUGAAGUGUGGGCACCUCAGCCAGUCUCCAGGGGAUGCCAGCAGUACUUGCUUUCCAAGAGUCAUUUCUGCAAAACACACAGCUUCGCUUUGCUUGCUCAGCUACCAUCUUGAAGAUAAUCUGUUCUGUUCUGUGCCUCUUCACAACCCAUCUGGGCCCAGUGAGCAUACUUGUUGGUUUGACUCCAGAGAACAAUUUUAUCCCUUCAGCUGGAUACUCGGUUGUGCUAGAAAACAAGCCUUUCCCUUUACAGAGCUCCUCAUGUGAUCCUCACAGCAGGCCUGGGGAUUAAACAGUGAGUAAGCAAUGCCUCCAUUUCACAGAAGAAGAAAUUGAUGCUAAGAGAAGAACCUCAGGUAAAGAAACCUUGUAUGUAGAGUCUGUCACCUGGUCUUGAUGGUUCCAAAGUUAUUUCAGUUUCUGAUUAAUUCUCUGGGAAGUGGGCACAUUCAUGAGCUCAUGAUCUCUCAGGCUUUGCUUGUCUUCCACUGUUCUCUCCAAAACAAACCCCCAUCCUGACCAACAUGUACUCAUAACAGCAGAACUUCAACUGCUGUUUUGAUUUUGUCAUUGUCCCAAAUAAAAUAGCCUUCCAAUGGACCACAGCACUUUUGGAACUUGUUGCAUAAACUUGACCAGAAUUUGUUGCUAUUGUCGCCCUUGUUGCAAUCAUUGCCAUAGUUGGCAUUCACUAAACCUACUCCUAAAGCUGAGCCUCCAUCCAGACCUGCUGAACCCUUCUCUUUAGAAAGUGUCUUCAAAGACUGGGCUCCUUUGAAAGACUAUUGAUGAUAACUCUUCAUCCCAAUUUUCAUUAUGACAGAUAGCUUGCCGUGCUAUACCCAGAAUGUUGGAAUUAAUACAUUAAUUGAUGAAUCCCUUGAGGGUGGUAUUUGAAUUGUUGGGGACUGGGUCACAACACAAACUAGCUUAAGCAAAAACUGAAUUUCUUGGUUCACACAGCUGCAAAGUACAUGUAUGAGGUCAUCAGGCACAGAUGAGCCCAGAGGCUCCAGGUCUUACUUCGGCUCUGAUUUCCUCUCCUGUCACCUCUCCUUUUACACAGUGUUAGCUCCAUUCUCAGAGAGUCUUUCCCCUUGGUGGUCAAUUGGCUAAGAGUAAUUUGGGCUAAUUUGAGGUGGUUCUUACAGCUAGUUCACAAACUUAGACGAAGAUGAGUCUUCUCUCUACCCCCAAGGCAAAUGUCAUGGAAGGACUGGUAUUGGUCCAGGUUAGGUAGCAUGCCCUCCAUGUAGACCAAUCACUGUGGACUGCGGUUGGCCAGGCCUGGGCCAUCUGCGCAUCCGAGUGGCCUGAGUACAGGGGAGGUAUGCAAUUGGCAGCUUUUCCUGGAGCUCCACUGGAUGAGUGUAGGGAACAGGGAAAGGGGAGGGGAUGUUACUAGAACCUCUGCAGUAAGUCCUAGUCUCCUGCGAGCCACAGCAGCACAAGGCAAAUUAACUUAUUAUACAGGAAAGGUAGAAAAAUGAGACUGAGAAGAAGCUGAGCUUUGGGUCUGAUCAGUGCUGCUCUGGGCAGCAAAGACGAAAGCCCGCAGUUUACUGCACCUUUUAUUCAGUACAUCAGGAGAAACAGAUGUAAC
ensembl:lncRNA